rnacentral:rRNA from 1 species
AGAGUGAACGCUGGCGGCAGGCCUAACACAUGCAAGUCGAACGGCAGCACAGAGGAGCUUGCUCCUUGGGUGGCGAGUGGCGGACGGGUGAGGAAUACAUCGGAAUCUGCCCAAUCGUGGGGGAUAACGUAGGGAAACUUACGCUAAUACCGCAUACGACCCCAUAUCGAAGGAUGCGGGGUGAAAGCGUGGGACCGCAAGGCCACGCGCGAUUGGAUGAGCCGAUGUCGGAUUAGCUUGUGGCGGGGUAAAGCCCACAAGGCGACGAUCCGUAGCUGGUCUGAGAGGAUGAACUCAGCCACGACUGGAACUGAAGACACGGUCCAGACUCCACGGGGAGCAGGCAGGUAGGGGAAUAGUUAGGAACAAGUGGGACGACC